GGUACCAGUACCUCUACAGUAGGAUCCGUUGUAGGGCCAUCAGUAGUAGAGGUGUCCGGUCCUGACCCAGAGGCUUCAAUACGAGCCACACUGAGGAAAUCACUGAUUGGAUCCUUCUCCUUCCUGUCCUCGUCCCCAGCCUGGCCAGACACAUCCCACCUGGACCUCUUCCCUGGCUCAGAGGGCUUCACACCUACACAGAGAGGGACAGAGAGACGUAGGGGCCAGGUUUACACAGAGAGGGACAGAGAGACGUAGGGGCCAGGUUUACACAGAGAGGGACAGAGAGACGAAGGGCCCAGGUUUACACAGAGAGGGACAGAGAGAGACGUAGGGGCCAGGUUUACACAGAGAGGGACAGAGAGAGACGUAGGGGCCAGGUUUACACAGAGAGGGACAGAGAGAGACGUAGGGGCCAGGUUUACACAGAGAGGGACAGAGAGACGAAGGGCCCA
rnacentral:lncRNA from 1 species